rnacentral:rRNA from 1 species
UGGGGAAUUUUCCGCAAUGGGCGCAAGCCUGACGGAGCAAUACCGCGUGGGGGAGGAAGGCUCUUGGGUUGUAAACCCCUUUUACUCGGGAAGAAGAUCUGACGGUACUUGAGGAAUCAGCAUCGGCUAACUCCGUGCCAGCAGCCGCGGUAAUACGGAGGAUGCAAGCGUUAUCCGGAAUGAUUGGGCGUAAAGCGUCUGCAGGUGGCUAUGCAAGUCUGCUGUUAAAGAGUGGAGCUCAACUCCAUAAGGGCAGUGGAAACUGCAUAACUAGAGUACGUUCGGGGUAGAGGGAAUUCCUGGUGUAGCGGUGAAAUGCGUAGAUAUCAGGAAGAACACCGGUGGCGAAAGCGCUCUACUAGGCCGUAACUGACACUGAGAGACGAAAGCUAAGGGAGCGAAUGGGAUUAGAUACCCCCGUAGUCC